CAGUAGCCGCGGGAAUACGGAGGGCGCGAGCGUUACCCGGAUUUACUGGGCGUAAGGGGCGUGUAGGCGGCCUGGGGCGUCCCAUGUGAAAGGCCACGGCUCAACCGUGGAGGAGCGUGGGAUACGCUCAGGCUAGAGGGUGGGAGAGGGUGGUGGAAUUCCCGGAGUAGCGGUGAAAUGCGCAGAUACCGGGAGGAACGCCGAUGGCGAAGGCAGCCACCUGGUCCACUUCUGACGCUGAGGCGCGAAAGCGUGGGGAGCAAACCGGAUUAGAUACCCCGGUAGUCCCUGUCUCUUAUAC
rnacentral:rRNA from 1 species